ACCCUUUUAUUUAUUAAUUUAAAAAAUUUUUCAGUCAAUUUUUUUAAAAAAAGCAGUAGAUCAGCAUUUCAAAAACCUAAUCUAAAUAUGUACUUGACAAUGAAGUACAUCUGAAUAUGGAGUAAAACAGUUUUUAAAAAAGCCAUUGAAUAUAUCAUAUUCAAAUACCCAUUCUAUUGGCCUUUUGUUGAAUAGAAUCAUAAACCAAAAAAAAUAAUGAAGAUUUACUACUAUGAAAACAAAUAGGUAGUACACUGGUAUGAAUAUUGGGUAUUAAGUAUAAUCAGUUGAAUCAAGUUAAGAUGUUGAAAAUCUAAUAAGAAAUUUGCGUGUGUAUGAAAGUCUAUAAGCCAGUUGACUCAAGAGCAACUGAGAUAUCUAAUUAUGCAGUGAACCCAGUCAUUU